rnacentral:lncRNA from 1 species
CAGAUUUUAACACUGUUUUAAGUGAGUGGAUUAAAAAAUCUCUUGAAGAUCCAGCAACUUGCAAAGAAACUGUUGUUGAGGUUGGUGUUGCAUCAUUGAAGCAUUUCUUACAAGCUAAUUGGACUGGUCCUAAAGAAUUUACAUUUAAUAAUGAGGAAUUUAAUGAAGUCAUUCUUUCUCAGGAGAUAUCUUCAUGUGCAAUACUUGCAUUGGAAAAAGAUGGGGAUGAUCUGUAUCAGCUUUUAUUUCAUCCAAUUUUAUUGCAAAUUGCAAAAAUCAUUUUACUGGAUUUGAGGUUAUUCUUUUCAGAUCAGGUGCUUAUUUGGUCAGUGAAAUGUCUUUCAACAAUUUUAGAAGUAGUUCAAGAAGUCAAUGACCAACAUUUAAAAAUAUUAAAUGAACUCUAUG